AUAUUAUUUAUGUCACUAUGUUCGUCUUUAUAUUGUCUUUAUCGGCUCAUACAUAUAUCGACAUAAUAAUAUGUAUAUUAUUUAACGUUUUCGUUCAAAGUCUGACAAUCUCCAGCGUUGUUUUUUACAUCCUCACAUCUUUGAUGACAACUUGCUACUAAAUGGUCCAUCCAGGUAUGUUGGAGUAGCCGGAUGAAAUCUUUUGUUGACGUUAAAUACUUUCUUGAUAAUUUGGCUUUCAUUAAAGCCCAAACAUUCUAUAUUGGAUUGGCGUCUGCUAACUGUGAUGGCCAAUCUAAAGUAACAUUAUGGUUUCUUGAGUACAUAGUCUACUUCUAUGCUGACUUCAGCAAAUCCUUUUUAUAGAAUUGUAUCAUAAUCAACGUAGCGGGUUUUUCAAUGUCUGCCUUUGAUACCAGACCUCUGAAGCUUAUCCGGUGUUGUAUUUAAAGAUAUCGGAUUAAGAAAACAUCUUUUUUUUGUUCAGUCACAAAAUAAACUUUAUUUGUUACUACUCCAAGGUUUUUUAAACCAUUUACUGCUAAUUUUUGCGAUCUAAAUCACAAAAUCUCGUCAGCAUUGUAAUCUUUUUCAGAAAUGACCUACUAGCAGCCAUUUUGUAAUCAUA